CUGCAGCUGUGCUCUGUGCCUGUACGCAUCUGGGGCUCCUUCCUCCAUGGUGUCGGUUGCACUGACCCUAUGAAGGCAUUCAGGAAGAAGGUGAAGAUAACCACCGACCAGGCUCCUGGGAGGAAAACUGUCCAACAUCUGCUGCCUGGCCAUCUGCGAGGGCCGCAGGGUGAUUCCCAUUGCUGAGAUUCUGGUGUUCCUUUACAACCACAAACUACAGACGAUAAAAGUGAGGGAGAGAGAGAACAUUAUAUAACUAAUAAAUUAUCUCAACAUACGUGAAAUCAGAGUUUAUGGCUUUCUCGUGUUCAUCCUAUGGAAGCUGAAA